rnacentral:rRNA from 1 species
AGAGUUUGAUCCUGGCUCAGGACGAACGCUGGCGGCGCGCUUAAUACAUGCAAGUCGAGCGAGAACCAGGGCUUCGGCUCUGGGGACAGCGGCGAACGGGUGAGUAACACGUGGGUAAUCAACCCCCGACACCGGGAUAGCCCAGGGAAACUUGGAUUAAUACCGGAUACCCCAUCUGGCUUUCGAGCCGGCUGGAAAAGGGUAGCUUCGGCCUCUGGUCGGGGACGAGCCCGCGGCGGAUUAGCUUGUUGGUGAGGUAACGGCUCACCAAGGCGACGAUCCGUAGCUGGUCUGAGAGGACGAUCAGCCACACUGGGACUGAGACACGGCCCAGACUCCUACGGGAGGCAGCAGUAGGGAAUCUUGCGCAAUGGGCGAAAGCCUGACGCAGCGACGCCGCGUGAGGGAAGAAGGCCUUCGGGUUGUAAACCUCUUUCAGGAGGGACGAAGCCACUCGGGUUAAUAGCCUAGAGGGUGACGGUACCUCCAGAAGAAGCCCCGGCUAACUACGUGCCAGCAGCCGCGGUAAUACGUAGGGGGCAAGCGUUGUCCGGAUUUAUUGGGCGUAAAGAGCGUGUAGGCGGCCAUACAGGUCAGCUGUGAAAACUCGAGGCUCAACCUCGAGACGUCGGUUGAAACCGUAUGGCUAGAGUCCGGAAGAGGAGAGUGGAAUUCCCGGUGUAGCGGUGAAAUGCGCAGAUAUCGGGAAGAACACCCGUGGCGAAGGCGGCUCUCUGGGACGGUACUGACGCUGAGACGCGAAAGCGUGGGGAGCGAACAGGAUUAGAUACCCUAGUAGUCC